GAUGAACGCUGGCGGCGUGCCUAAUACAUGCAAGUCGAGCGAACAGACGAGGAGCUUGCUCCUCUGACGUUAGCGGCGGACGGGUGAGUAACACGUGGAUAACCUACCUAUAAGACUGGUAUAACUUCGGGAAACCGGAGCUAAUACCGGAUAAUAUAUUGAACCGCAGGGUUCAAUAGUGAAAGACGGUUUUGCUGUCACUUAUAGAUGGAUCCGCGCCGCAUUAGCUAGUUGGUAAGGUAACGGCUUACCAAGGCGACGAUGCGUAGCCGACCUGAGAGGGUGAUCGGCCACACUGGAACUGAGACACCGUCCAGACUACUACGGGACGCAGCAGUCGGGAAUCUUCCGCAAUGGGCGAAAGCCUGACGGAGCAACGCCGCGUGAGUGAUGAAGGUCUUCGGAUCGUAAAACUCUGUUAUUAGGGAAGAACAAAUGUGUAAGUAAAUAUGCACGUAUUGACGGUAACUAAUCAGAAAGCCACGGCUAACUACGUG
rnacentral:rRNA from 1 species